CUCAGAACGAACGCUGGCGGCAGGCUUAACACAUGCAAGUCGAACGCUGUAGCAAUACAGAGUGGCAGACGGGUGAGUAACGCGUGGGAACGUGCCCUUCGGUCGGAAUAACUCAGGGAAACUUGAGCUAAUACCGGAUACGUGCGAGAGCAGAAAGAUUUAUCGCCGAAGGAUCGGCCCGCGUCCGAUUAGCUAGUUGGUGAGGUAAUGGCUCACCAAGGCGACGAUCGGUAGCUGGUCUGAGAGGAUGAUCAGCCACACUGGGACUGAGACACGGCCCAGACUCCUACGGGAGGCAGCAGUGGGGAAUAUUGGACAAUGGGCGAAAGCCUGAAUCCAGCCAUGCCGCGUGAGUGAUGAAGGCCCUAGGGUUGUAAAGCUCUUUCGCCAGGGACGAUAAUGACGGUACCUGGAUAAGAAGCCCCGGCUAACUUCGUGCCAGCCGCCGC
rnacentral:rRNA from 1 species